rnacentral:rRNA from 1 species
AGGGCACCACCAGGAGUGGAGCCUGCGGCUUAGUUUGACUCAACACGGGAAAUCUCACCAGGCCCGGACACCGGAAGGAUUGACAGAUUGAGAGCUCUUUCUUGAUUCGGUGGGUGGUGGUGCAUGGCCGUUCUUAGUUGGUGGAGCGAUUUGUCUGGUUAAUUCCGAUAACGAACGAGACUCUGGCCUACUAACUAGACGUUGGAUCCCUUUGUGGGUCCAUCGCAGCUUCUUAGAGGGACGGGCGGCGUUUAGCCGCACGAGAUUGAGCAAUAACAGGUCUGUGAUGCCCCUAGAUGUUCUGGGCUGCACGCGCGCUACACUGAAGGAAUCAGCGUGUGUUCCCUAUCCGAAAGGAUUGGGAAACCCGUUGAACCUCCUUCGUGAUGGGGAUUGGGGAUUGCAAUUAUUCCCCAUGAACGAGGAAUUCCCAGUAGGCGCGAGUCAUAAGCUUGCGUCGAUUACGUCCCUGCCCUUUGUACACACCGCCCGUCGCUACUACCGAUCGAGUGAUUUAGU